CCUACGGGAGACAGCAGUGGGGAAUAUUGCACAAUGGGGGGAACCCUGAUGCAGCAACGCCGCGUGAAGGAAGACGGUUUUCGGAUUGUAAACUUCUAUCAAUAGGGAAGAAAGAAAUGACGGUACCUAAAUAAGAAGCCCCGGCUAACUACGUGCCAGCAGCCGCGGUAAUACGUAGGGGGCAAGCGUUAUCCGGAAUUACUGGGUGUAAAGGGAGAGUAGGCGGCAAGGUAAGCGAUAUGUGAAAGCCUUAGGCUUAACCUGAGGAUUGCAUAACGAACUAUCUAGCUAGAGUACAGGAGAGGAAAGCGGAAUUCCUAGUGUAGCGGUGAAAUGCGUAGAUAUUAGGAAGAACACCAGUGGCGAAGGCGACCUGCUAGAACAUAACUGACGCUGAUGCGCGAAAGCGUGGGGAGCAAACAGGAUUAGAUACCCCAGUAGUC
rnacentral:rRNA from 1 species